AACGAACGCUGGCGGCAGGCCUAACACAUGCAGGUCGAGCGAGGUAGCAAUACCUAGCGGCGGACGGGUGAGUAACGCGUGGGAACGUACCCUUUGCUACGGAAUAGCCCCGGGAAACUGGGAGUAAUACCGUAUGUGCCCUUCGGGGGAAAGAUUUAUCGGCAAAGGAUCGGCCCGCGUUGGAUUAGGUAGUUGGUGGGGUAAUGGCCUACCAAGCCGACGAUCCAUAGCUGGUUUGAGAGGAUGAUCAGCCACACUGGGACUGAGACACGGCCCAGACUCCUACGGGAGGCAGCAGUGGGGAAUCUUAGACAAUGGGCGCAAGCCUGAUCUAGCCAUGCCGCGUGAGUGAUGAAGGCCUUAGGGUUGUAAAGCUCUUUCAGGUGGGAAGAUAAUGACGGUACCAUCAGAAGAAGCCCGGCUAACUCCGUGCCAGCAGCCGCG
rnacentral:rRNA from 1 species